AUCUGGUUUCAUUAUCUUAAUGAUUUUACUGAUUAGUGUAAUGAGUGUUAUACAAGAACCUUCAAUCCCAUAUUCCACUAUCAUUAGAUUAGCGCAUUAUGGUUUUUCCUCUCAAAUUUUAUUGUUUCUUUGCAUCUCAGUUCAUUUCUUUCUGAAGAAGAAGGAGAUCUCCAAGAUAUAUAGGUCUAGUCCAGCCUACAAGACAAUUUUUGCAAUAUAGCAGAGGAGACGCAUCGUGAAGAACAACAAAUUCAGACAUUUGUUGACAAGACUCAAGGACAUAGCUUUAUACUGAUGGCAUGAUGGACGAGUUCUCCUAUGAUGAACGCAAGAGACAGCUUGAAGGUUAAGGUUCAUUAAUCCGGUUCAUCCUCUAACCCACUUGCAUUUUCAAGUAGUUAUUAGCACACCAAUACAUGUCUUUGGGAAUGGUAUAGGUGUUAGUCCUAGUUACAAAUUGUAUCUACAAGUAAUACUGUUGCUCAUAUCAAAUCUAUCGUUAUGACGCAAAUGGCAAGGGGUGAUGAGUGGUAACAUAGGAGUUGAAAAAUAUAUAAUUGAGAGACACACUAUUUCGUCAACCAUUGCUUGCGCCCUGCAGAAGUUCUUGUAGCGCAAACCAUUUCGUCCACUAGAAACUAGUAACUAGAACAGAUCCACUAAGACAAACUCGUGGGCUAAUGAUGGGCCUCACGUUUACUAUAGCUUAAUUAUUAGGGUUUUGAUUCAAAAGACGACAUAUAAAUAGGGAGAGGCAGCGUAGUGUGUGUUGGGCGAGUGUCUCUCUUCCUUACCAGAAUUCUAAAUCUAGAUCUUGUCUUCAACUCUUCACUGUCCAAACUCCAUUCUACUG